GUAAAAUUAAAAAUUUUGAAAGAAUUUUACUACAAUUUAAAGGACGCGGUAUCUUGACCGUGGUAAUGUAGCAUAAUCACUCGCCACUUAAUUGGUGGAUAGUAUGAAUGGUUGAACGAAUAUAACACUGUCUCAGGUAGAGGUUUUAUAAAAUUGGAUUAAUAGUAAAGAUACUAUUUUAAAUUAUAAGACGAAAAGACCCUAUAGAGCUUAACUAUAAUCUUUUUUUAACUAUAUAAAUUUAUUUAUAAAAAUAAAAAGAUGGGUAGUUUAGUUGGGGCGACUAUCUUCUAAAUAUAACGAAGAUAAACAAUAUUAAUAAAAUAAUUUAUUGUAUAAUAAAUGAAUUUAACAAUUACUAAAGUAGGUAAUAAUGACCCGUUCCCAUUUCAGAAAAAAGGGAACGAUCAAUUGAUAAAAGCUACCUUAGGGAUAACAGGAUAAUUUUAUCUUAGAGAUCUUAUCGAAGAUAAAGUUUGUCACCUCUAUGUUGAAUUAAG
rnacentral:rRNA from 1 species